rnacentral:rRNA from 1 species
GAUGAACGCUAGCUACAGGCUUAACACAUGCAAGUCGAGGGGAAACGAUAGAGAAAGCUUGCUUUUUCUAGGCGUCGACCGGCGCACGGGUGAGUAACGCGUAUCCAACCUGCCCACCACUUGGGGAUAACCCUGCGAAAGUAAGACUAAUACCCAAUGAUAUCUCAAGAAGACAUCUGAAUGAGAUUAAAGAUUUAUCGGUGAUGGAUGGGGAUGCGUCUGAUUAGCUUGUUGGCGGGGUAACGGCCCACCAAGGCGACGAUCAGUAGGGGUUCUGAGAGGAAGGUCCCCCACAUUGGAACUGAGACACGGUCCAAACUCCUACGGGAGGCAGCAGUGAGGAAUAUUGGUCAAUGGGCGAGAGCCUGAACCAGCCAAGUAGCGUGCAGGAUGACGGCCCUAUGGGUUGUAAACUGCCUUUAUAAGGGAAUAAAGUGAGUCUCGUGAGACUUUUUGCAUGUACCUUAUGAAUAAGGACCGGCUAAUUCCGUGCCAGCCGCCGCGGUAA